GAUGAACGCUAGCUACAGGCUUAACACAUGCAAGUCGAGGGUCCGGCGCACGGGUGAGUAACACGUAUCCAACCUGCCCUUUACUCGGGGAUAGCCUUUCGACAGAAAGAUUAAUACCCGAUAUAAAGGAUGGUGAUGCGUUCCAUUAGGUUGUUGGUGAGGUAACGGCUCACCAAGCCUUCGAUGGAGAGGGGUUCUGAGAGGAAGGUCCCCCACAUUGGAACUGAGGCACGGUCCAAACUCCGACGCGAGGCAGCAGUGACGAAUAUUAGGCAAGGAGCGCUAGCCUGAACCAGCCAAGUAGCGUGAAGGAUGAAGGGUUAGGGAUCGUAAACUUCUUUUAUAUAAGAAUAUGUAUUAUAUGAAUAAGGAUCGGCUAACUCCGUGCCAGCAGCCGCGGUAAUUC
rnacentral:rRNA from 1 species